rnacentral:lncRNA from 1 species
AUUUGAAGUCCACCGUCACCCCUUCCUGGGUUGCUAUCUAUUGCAAAACCAACCAAUCAAUAUCCACAGGAGAGGGAUAGCAGCGCCUCGGGGAGAACCCCUCUGCCAGGAUUUGGGCAGAGUUUGUGGUUUCCUGGAAAGGAAUUGUUUUCACUGAAGAGUAGAUUAAAAGGCAACAUCUGUUCUGCAAGGUGAGAACCUACACUCUUAAACAUGUUAGGCUUUGCCACAGAAGUGAUUGUACUGCACACCUUGAGACCUAGCAACUUUCUUUUUUUUCUUUUCUU